GAUUAAGGGCCGGUACUUUAUGUCUCCGUUAACAGCCGGUUAGUUAACCGAGGUUUAAUCGGGACAGAAAUAUAUGCAAAACAUAGACAUAAACGCAAUUAUACUUAUUAUUAUAUUCAUAAAUAAUUAUAAUAAUAAUUAUAAUUGCUUUUAUUACAACGCAAGAGGCCCUAUGGGGUACUUUUCUGUCCCGAUUAAACCCCGGUUAGCUAACCGAGGUUUAACCGGGACAUAAAGUACCGGCCCUAAAUAUCCAGCACGCAACCGCACUGUUGCCAGAUUUACUUCUUUUCUUUUAGCGGGAAUUUUAAAAUAUCUAAUGUAAGUUGGUUUAAAAUUUGACAGUUGUAUUUUUUUGAUUCCGAAUCUUAACCUUACUUUACACCUUUACAGGUGAUUUGAUUAUGUACAAAAAAUGUACAAUGUAAAUAAAUUGAACCAAGUAAUGUACUAAAAUAUGCUAUGUUAUAAUUUAAAACUCGUUAUGUUAGUCUUUUGAAAAAAAUUAAACUCAAAAGAGAUAUACUUGUUUACAGUGCAAAUUAAUGGCAAUAAUAGGGAUUUACGAUUUAAUUUGCAGGAAAAACAUGGGCAACCUAACCAGUUGGUAAAAUUUCAAUUCAAAAACUCUUUAGAUAGAUUUUACUGUGUGGAUGUCACAGGAAGAGAAACAAAAUAAUAUUCAGUCACAGGAGUACAAGAACGUGAAACAUCUUAUUAUGUAUGUAUGCCAUUCUCAAACAAUUAUUGUACAAAACAAGAUAGAGAAGAGCUUUAAAAUCCCAAGGAUCCUGUGAAAAGAAAAGUGAAAAUGUUGUCUCAAUUAAUGUAGUAUAGAUAGACAUUUUUCUUUAUUUUAGUAUUAAAUAAUUAUUUAGAAUAUUAAUAGGUAUUAGUUUUAAUAUGUAUUGUAUGAAUAAUUCCCAUCAUAUAUCUUCUGGCUAAAGUUACAAAAUAAAUAAAAAUGAAAAAACAUUUAAGUGGUGUAGCACCUUUACUUUACCUGGGGACGAGGUGAGUUAUUAGGUCAAUUCUAUUUUCUUACAUAAUAUAGGUACAUAUAUAAUAUACUUAAAAAUUAAUGGUGGUAUUAUUGUGGUUUAUAUUGAAAGCCAAAGCAAGUAAGAAUAAGAAGACGUGGCUACAGGCGAAGCGUGUUCAUAAAUGUGUUAAUAAUAAUAAUUUUAUAUCUAUUUUGUUAAUACAUUUUACUAUUAAAGACAAUUAUUAAAAUAUGCCAAAAACGCCCACAAAGUGGCUUUAAGUUUUAUUACACAGUAUGUGGACUUCAACUAGGAAGAUUAUGUUAAGUAUGAGCAGAAUAAAGGCUAACAAUUUUGAUGUUAAUAUUUUAUUGUCAUAGGUUGUCUUUUUUUAUUAUAUUUAAUGCAUCUUUCUUCUUUACCCAGUG
rnacentral:lncRNA from 1 species